UACUGCUUUCACACCUUCAUCUUCAAAAUGAUGGUCAGACUGUCUGCUCUCGUGAUGGUGCUCUGCCUGCCCUGUCUGAAUGGACAGGCUAUGGAGUCCAUUCCCUCCACUCCAGUGAUAAAAAAGCCACAGGAAACCCUCAGUCUUUCCUGUAGAGGAUCUGGUUUCACUUUUGGCAGCUAUGGAAUGCACUGGAUCAGGCAGCCUGCAGGAAAAACACUAGAAUGGAUGGGAGUUAUUUGGUAUGAUGCCAGUAAAACUAUUUAUGCCAACAGUGUGGAAGGACGUAUAGAAAUUACCAGAGACAACAGCAACAGCAUGGUGUAUCUGAGACUGUCCAACCUAAAGCCAGAGGACUCGGCUGUGUAUUACUGUGCCAGACCCCACAGUAGCACAAACCAUCACUAG